GACGAACGCUGGCGGCGUGCUUAACACAUGCAAGUCGAACGGAAAGGCCCUGCUUUUGUGGGGUUCUCGAGUGGCGAACGUGUGAGUAACACGUGAGUAACCUUCCCUUGACUUUGGGAUAACUUCAGGAAACUGGUGCUAAUACCGGAUAUGAGCUCCUGCUGCAUUGUGUUGGUUGGAAAGUUUCGGCGGUUGGGGAUGGACUCGCGGCUUAUCAGCUUGUUGGUGGGGUAGUGGCUUACCAAGGCUUUGACGGGUAGCCGGCCUGAGAGGGUGACCGGCGAAAUUGGGACUGAGAGACGGCACAGACUCCAACGGGAGGCAGCAGUGGGGAAUAUAGCACAAUGGGAGGAAGCAUGAUGAAGCAACGCAGCGUGCGGGAUGAAGGACUUCGGGUUGUAAAAAGAUUUCGACUGUGACGAAGAGUGAGUGACGGUAAUGGGUAAAGAAGCACCGGCUAACUACGUG
rnacentral:rRNA from 1 species